rnacentral:ncRNA from 1 species
AAUACAUUAGCAUGGAAUAAUAGAAUAGGACGUGCGGUUCUAUUUUGUUGGUUUCUAGAGUCGCCGUAAUGAUUAAUAGGGACAGUUGGGGGCAUUAGUAUUCAGUCGCUAGAGGUGAAAUUCUUGGAUUGACUGAAGACUAACUUCUGCGAAAGCAUUUGCCAAGGAUGUUUUCAUUAAUCAAGAACGAAGGUUAGGGGAUCGAAAACGAUCAGAUACGUCCUGCCGGUGCGGGUGCGUAAGGCGAAACCUCCU